UAAAAGCUAGUUAAAGUUAUAACUUAAAAUUGUCAUUUUUAGAUUACUAUUGUUA
rnacentral:tRNA from 1 species